GUAUGUAUGUGUGUGUGUAUAGGUAUGUGUAUGUAUGGUAUUGGAUGUGUGUGUAUAGGUAUGAAUGUAUGUGUGUGUGUGUAUAGGUAUGUGUGUGUGUAUAUAGGUAUGUGUGUGUGUGUAUAUAGGUAUGUGUGUGUGUGUAUAGGUAUGUGUGUGUGUAGGUAUGUAUGUGUGUGUAUAGGUAUGAAUGUAUGUGUGUGUGUGUGUAUGUAUAUGUAUUUAUAUAAAUUAAUCAAAUACUGCCUAUCUUCCUGUGAUACAUCUGUUAAUGUAAUUCAUGUUUAUUCCUGUUUAAUGUUUAUUUUAUUCAUUAUUGCUCUUCUAUUCCUUUAUUUGUUGUUAUUGAUUGAAUAUAUAACUUCUGUAUUCAUUUGCGUUGGCAACAUUGUUAAAACAGUCACGCCAAUAAAGCACACUGUGAAGUGAACUGACAGACAGAGGGAGAGAGAGAUGGAAUGAGAAAGAGAGAGAGAGAGAGAGAGAGAGAGAGAGAGAGAGAGAGAGAGAGAGAGGGAGAGAUGGAACGAGAAAGAGCGAUAGAGAGAGAGAUGGAAAGAGAAGGAGAGAGAUAGAGAUGGAAAGAGAGAGAGAGAGAGAGAGAGAGGGAGAGAGAUGGAAAGAGAAGGAGAGAGAGAGAGAGAGAGAGGGAGAGAGAUGGAAAGAGAAGGAGAGAGAGAGAGAGAGAGAGGGAGAGAGAUGGAACGAGAAAGAG
ensembl:lncRNA